AUCCCAGGACUGAAAUGAUUGAUCUCCAACAACCACAACCGUCUUCCUUUGUGCUAGGAGCUGAAUGGCCUUGGUGGAACCCAUUGGCAGAACUGGUUGUCACAGUCCAGAUCCUAGCGGCCUACAAGGAAAACUGCCCUCGAAUUUGGCCCUAAUUAACAGUCUUUAUCAAGAAGAAUGAGUGUUUGGCUGAUAUGGUAAUAGGAAAAAUGUCUCACUGGUGCAUCCACAGAUACAUUUCAAAGAUUGCAACUGAGGCACAAUGUUGAGACAGAAUAAAGUAAGUUUUCCUCUGCAUCUAAUAUAACUGUGCAGGAUCUGACAAUGCUUAAUGCUCCUACCAUGUCCAAGAUGUAACAUAUUCCAUUCACCAAUGUUCAUGAUUAGCACAAAAUUGACAAAAGAAAAAUAUUAAGAUCUUGGGCAUUACAAACAGGGUAAAUGUGAAGACACUCUCAGCUUUUCUGUUCCUCAUUGUAAAAUUGAGAUUUUUAAAGUCAUUCAGAAAAUCUGGUUAGUCUACUUAUAUUCAAAAUAUGUGCACUUAAAGGGCACAUUCCUCUUCCUUUGUGAUCCCCUGCACAUCAUCUGUUCCAUGUAUGUUGGAUCUCAGUUCAUAGCAGAUAGUGCUUUUCAACAAAAGGUUAGGUUGUAAAGCAGCUAUUCCUUUAUUGGUGUAAAUGAGGCAUAUUCUGAAGAUGCAGCUUUUUGGGUGCUAUUUAUAAAUGUUUUUUUAGGUUAUAAUGUAUAGUUCAAAUAAAGCAAAUUGUUAAAGCCUCAAACAGGACAUGACCUCUCCCCUCCACCUUAAAAAAAUAAUUUGGUGUACUGGAGCAAGAUCAGACCUGGUUGCUUUCCUCUCACUAGUUCGAAUGCACCAGUGUUCUUGAACUUGGACAUUGUUUUAAUGCUCUUAAACCAACUGUGGAAAUAUCAACAUUGAACCAUGCUUACCAGAUGUAUUCCACAUUUGAAAAUGUCCUUAAGGAGUUGGGCAAAAAUGAAUCCAUAUGAACUAUGUGAUCUUUUUAAGGAUUUUCUUUCAAGUGACAAACAUAUUAAUAAAAAUACCCUAUUUUCAGGUUAA